rnacentral:rRNA from 1 species
CAAUAGCGUAUAUUAAAGUUGUUGCGGUUAAAAAGUUCGUAGUUGGAUUUCUGUGAAGGAUAACCGGUCCGCACUAUGUGCGUGUAUCUGUUUGUCCUUUGCAUCCUCGCGGAAUACGUCACUGUGCUUCACUGCAUGGGGCGGGCUUCGCGACUUUUACUUUGAGGAAAUUAGAGUGUUCACGGCAGGCUAACGCCAUGAAUAUAUUAGCAUGGAAUAAUAAUAUAGGACCUUGGUUCUAUUUUGUUGGUUUCUAGGGCUAAGGUAAUGAUUAAUAGGGACAAUUGGGGGCAUUCGUAUUAACGCGUCAGAGGUGGAAUUCUUGGAUUGCGUUACGACGAACUACUGCGAAAGCAUUUGCCAAGGAUGUUUUCAUUGA